rnacentral:rRNA from 1 species
CCUACGGGUGGCAGCAGUGAGGAAUAUUGGUCAAUGGCCGGAAGGCUGAACCAGCCAUGCCGCGUGAAGGUCAGUGCCCUAUGGGCGUUAAACUUCUUUUGUGCGGGAGCAAUAAUGGUCACGUGUGGCCAGACGAGAGUACCGUACGAAUAAGCAUCGGCUAAACCCGUGCCAGAAGCCGCGGUAAUACGGGGAAUGCAAGCGUUAUCUGGAUUAAUUGGGUUUAAAGGGUGCGUAGGCUGGGAGGUAAGUCAGCGGUGAAAUGCCCCGGGUCAAGGGGGUGAAGUGCCUUUGAUACUGGCAUGCUGGAAUGCGAAUGCGGUGGGAGGAAUGUGAGGUGUAGCGGUGAAAUGCGUAGAUAUCACACAGAACACCGAUUGCGAAGGCAUCUCACGAAUCCGAGAUUGACGCUGAUGGACGAAAGCGUGGGUAGCAAACAGGAUUAGAUACCCCUGUAGUC